rnacentral:rRNA from 1 species
UAGUCCACGCCGUAAACGAUGGUCACUAGUUGUUGGGGUCUUGUACCUCAGUGAUUAAGAGAAAUUGAUAAGUGACCCACCUGGGGAGUACGAUCGCAAGAUUGAAACUCAAAGGAAUUGACGGGGGCCCGCACAAGCGGUGGAGCAUGUGGUUUAAUUCGAUGAUACGCGAGGAACCUUACCAGGGCUUAAAUGUAAGUUGCAUGAUUUAGAGAUAGAUCUUUCUUCGGACUACUUACAAGGUGCUGCAUGGUUGUCGUCAGCUCGUGCCGUGAGGUGUCAGGUUAAGUCCCGCAACGAGCGCAACCCCUGCCUUUAGUUGCCAUCAUUAAGUUGGGCACUCUAGAGGAACUGCCGGUGUCAAGCCGGAGGAAGGUGGGGACGACGUCAAGUCAUCAUGGCCCUUACGGGCCUGGGGCUACACACGUGCUACAAUGGAACGCACAGAGGGGCAGC